GCACAUUUGGUGGAAUUGGUAGACACAACAGACUUAAAAUCUGUUACCAUAAAAGGUGUGUUGGUUCAAAUCCAAUAAUGUGUA
rnacentral:tRNA from 2 species